UUUUUUCUAAAAAUGGCGUCCGUAUCAGACGUCAAAAGAAAUUUCACAAAAAAACAGAACAUUUUUCAUGAAUUGUGAAAACGUAUUUAUUUCAGUGUGAACUCAAAUUAUAAAAUCCACGUAUGUUUUGUAUUUCAAAACAGAUAUUGGGAACUAAAUUGAUAGAAAAGUCGUACGCUAUGAUUUGAUGAGGAAUCAAUUCAAGAAAACUGAAGGAUGCAAGCCCUACGUUUCAUUUUGCAUGAACACCGAAAAUGAAGUUCAUUCACUCUUCAAUGUUAAAUCAAAAAUGUCAACUCGUGGGUUGUAAAAGAUUCUUGGUGAACAUAUCCCGACUUACCGAGUUUGGUAGGAAUCUAUUUGCUCAUACAUUCGGUUUUAUUUAAUACACUACAUCAACCUGAGAUUGUAAGAAAAAAUCGCAGAAAAAUAUCCAAUCAUGCAAUUCUGCAACGCAUUAACAAGCUAAUAAUGCGACAUCUUAUAUCUUCAUAGAAACCUUUGAAAAAAGCAACAAUGAGGCAAUUGAAUGGAUGGACAGCGAUGUCUUGGAUUUACCUCUCCCUGUGAUGUACUUAAUAAGCCCAAUGG